UACGUAGGUGGCAAGCGUUGUCCGGAAUUAUUGGGCGUAAAGCGCGCGCAGGCGGUCCUUUAAGUCUGAUGUGAAAGCCCACGGCUCAACCGUGGAAGGUCAUUGGAAACUGGAGGACUUGAGUACAGAAGAGGAAAGCGGAAUUCCACGUGUAGCGGUGAAAUGCGUAGAGAUGUGGAGGAACACCAGUGGCGAAGGCGGCUUCUGGUCUGUAACGUGACGCUGAGGCGCGAAAGCGUGGGAGCAAACAGG
rnacentral:rRNA from 1 species